rnacentral:rRNA from 1 species
GACAGCAGCCGCCGCGGUAAUACGUAGGUCCCGAGCGUUGUCCGGAUUUAUUGGGCGUAAAGCGAGCGCAGGCGGUUAGAUAAGUCUGAAGUUAAAGGCUGUGGCUUAACCAUAGUACGCUUUGGAAACUGUUUAACUUGAGUGCAGAAGGGGAGAGUGGAAUUCCAUGUGUAGCGGUGAAAUGCGUAGAUAUAUGGAGGAACACCGGUGGCGAAAGCGGCUCUCUGGCUUGUAACUGACGCUGAGGCUCGAAAGCGUGGGGAGCAAACAGGAUUAGAUACCCCCGUAGUCCCUGUCUCUUAUACA